UGGGCUUGGAGUUAGGUCAUAGAGAAUUUGAAUUUCUGUCCUCAGACUUGCAAGUUAUAUGACGUGAGGCAAGUGACUGGCACUCUGGGCCUGAGUUUCUGGGUCUAUUCAAUGAGGAGACCCAUAUGAACCUGGCAGAAUUGCGAUGCCAGGAGACAAGGCAUGCAAAAAUGCUCCCUGCUCCCUGCACAGCCAGGCUCCCAAGCCAGUCGGGCUUUGGAUGAUUUUACUAGACUUUUCCUACACUGUUUGCUCAUCACUCUCCCUCCUCCUCCAAAGGGACAAAUAUUACAAAGAAUAUUCAGCCUGAUGGAGCUGGCUGUGGAGUGGCAUCACAUGCUUGCACUGUGUGGCUCAGAUUACACCAGAGACGUCAUUGUCCCAGCAAGCCUCAGCAGCCUUCAAACAAGCACACCGUCUGGCACAAAGACCAAGAAAAGGUUCUGGUCCCUUGAGGUUGGAGAAGAAAGCAACUGCAAAGAAACAAGCUAUUAAUAUUAAUGUUCCAGGAAAAGGAGAAGAGAGAAAGGACACGGGCGCCCAGAAAGAAUGACUCCAUAUGGCUUUGAUGUGUUCAUUUCCACAGGACGGGAGCGGUGCAGAGAAUACAGAAUAGCUAGGAGGAGGGAAAUGAGGAGGUGAAGGUGGCUUGGCAAUCUCUGAGAAAUUACAUGAGCUGUAGGAAGUAGGUUCUGUCUAGAUAAAAAUUCAGCCAGCCAUGCUGCCAUCUGCACCCAUCUGAGAAUAAGCCAGAGCAAGGAAGCGAAGCCCCUGGUGCCCUGGGAGUUCCAACUAGUGGGUGCAGUAUUUUCUAGACAAGAGAGAGCUGAGGGUGAAGGACCUGCAGUAAAUGGAAAACUCUUGAGCUAAAAUGCAACUAGCAGCAGAACGGAUGUCACAGACUCUGUUAAGGAAAAGGCUUCCUUGGGAAUAUGGUACAAAAUGAAAAUGGGCCUGGAAGGUGUUGAAGAAGGAAGGCCUUUUGCCAGGGGGCUGUGGUUUUCCAGCCUCGACAGAUGAAUGAUUUCAGGCAGCAUAAAGACAAAUGCUAAGUGAAGACCUGUGGAGAGCUCUCCAGACACAGGGAUGGCCAGAGAUUUGGGAAAUGAGGGGACAGUCCAGUGAUGAAAAUGGAACUUUACCUGGACUUUACUGAGAGGUUAUUUCGGGGGAGAACUAAGAUCAAAGUAGAGGAAAUAAUUAAAGCUGCUGAAGGGAGCCCAGAGGGUCACUGCGGCAUACGGGAAGCACUUGGACUUUGGAAUCAGCCAAGGUCAGAGCCUUGUUCUUUCACAGAGCAGCUCUGCGAGCUGGGGAAGUUCAUUACUGCAGCGUGCUUAUCUGUAGACACCGAGAUAAUUGUGCCAGCCACACAGGGCUGUGUGAAGGCGGAUCAAUGAUAACAUGCAGAAGGACUUGAAGCAGGGCUCACACCCCUGCCCUGGCUUUCCUCCCCUCUACGCUCCCUGCUUUUCCUUUUAACUCCCAACACCUACAAUUUUGACAUGGGUCGUAGGUACUUACCUUGCUGAAAAUUUUACUGGGCCCAUGUUGAGAAAUAAUAACAAUUUGUUAUAUUUAUCUACCCCUCUGAUGUCUCAAAAGUGUUUUUAUGGACAUGGUUCUUCUUAUCAACUCUGUGAAUUAUGUUCUGACUGUAAUUUUAUAAAUGGGGACGUUGAGGCUUCUUGUACCAUCAAUACUUAAUGGCAAAAUCUUUUGGCUCAAAGUGCUUUUUUUAAAUCUACAGAUAAUUUAGAGGUAUCUGUGAGAACUCCCUUGAAUCUGGAUUCUAUGUACUAUAUAAUCAUGGCAACCUGGAAACUAGUCGGGUAGCCUCUUACUGGUUUUCCAGGGGCAUCUUGCUAUGUGACCAUCUUCCUGCAGACCAGGAAGAUGACAGGAAAUACAAAUGGAUAUGAGACACUGUCUCGGUCAGGAAAUCUCCUUGCUUCUGUUCCCAAUCCUUAACCCAAAGCCAUGGUAUCCCUAAUUAACAUUAGCCACCCAGAAAUUUCUCUUAGAAAUGCUUUUAAGAGACCUGAUGGGCAAGAGAACCUCCCAUCUUCCCUCUCCCUCCUGCCACACAUUCACACUUUUGUGCUCAGCUCUUGCCUUAACAGUCAGCCAUAGUUCCAAUUGUUCCUUCCACUGCAUGCACACAGAGGGCUUGCCUACAGUCCUCUGGCUCCUGUUCACUUGCUUGACCUGCAUUAUGUUUCCUGGCAGGAAAUAGAGCUUUCUGUCUCAACCUAGGCAAGCUGCAGGUAGCCACCCCACCCCACUGCCCACUUUAGCCACUCUGCAACCAACCAGUUCCUGGGUUCAGCACUCCUGUUGACUCUUGGGGUUCCUCGUCUGAUUCUACCUACACCUAGCACCAUAUCCCCUGGCUUUCCAGAUGGACCACAAGUAUGGUGCGAAGCUCAGAUGGAGGAUGAGCAAUAGGCAGACCAAAGCCAUGAUGCUCCCUCAUCAGGGGAGGAAUCUAUCACUUACCACAGGUUUCUGCCUUUACAAAAUAUCAAUGAGGUCCUUCUUCAGUGGCCUUGUCAUGGGAAAUUUUCGUAAAUAUUAAAGAAAAGAUCACAUGGGGGAAAAGAAUCUAAGAAAUAAAAUAAGAUCAUUGAAAUUUUAUUCAUGGUAUGCUAAUUACUUUUAGAUGUUUUCCUCAUUCUUUAAGCUUUUGUCUAUCAUUAAAAAAAAUGAAUUGUGUUGUUUGCCCUCUAACAUUUGUAGGGAACGGUGGAUGCUAAUUAAAAACCAAACCAAAAGCCACAGAUGUAAUUAUUACAUAAUGAGAUAAGGAUAACGUUAUCUGAUGCUAUUUCAUAUAACAAGAGUGAAUUUUAAUUAGAACCCCCAGGUGGUGACUAAGAAAUCAGGUAUAUAGAAAUUUUACCUUCAUUGCUAAUUUGCAGAAUAAUUAUGCUUUGCAAUUAUCGCUUGGUACUGUGUUAGUCAGCUUUCCACCAUGGUGAUGAAAUACCAGAAAAAGUCAACUUUAAAGGAGGAAAUAUUUAUUUUUCCUCACAGUUUCAGAGGUCUCAGUCCAUGGUCACUUGGCUUUUUUGCUUUCAGACCUGUGGCAACACAGGAUAUCAUGGCAGGAGUUUAUGGCAGAAGAGAUCUAUCUGUUCACCUCCUGGUGGUUAGGAAGUUAAAAAAAGGAGAGAAGGCGUCAGAGUCCCAAUGUCUCCUUCAAGGUCACCUCCCGAUACUGAUCUAACUUUCUCCAUUAAGCUUCCACCUUAAAGUUUCCACCAUCUGCCAAUGCAACAGUGUAAGAUCAAGCCUUCAACACAUGGUCCUUGGGAGGAACUCCCACCCAAACCAAAGCAGGCACAAACCCCGUUCCCCCUGAAUAGUUCAUAGAAGGAAGACGGCUCUUGGUCUUGGCCUGUGCAAAACAAAUAAAUAAAUGCACUUACCUAUUCAGGACUAGUUUGCUAAAUCUGAUACUGUGGGCCUGCAAGAUUUAGGACCAUUUGAAACAUGUAAUCAUCUAGUACCAAAAGAUUAGAUUCAUUCUUUCUAGUUUCUGUAAAGCAUAAAUAUGAGACGUCUCUGUAAUGGCAAUGAAAUAAAUAUGUUAAUGCAUCUA